CCUCUUCAACUAUAUAUAUAUAUAUUUUUUUUUUUCAUUCUGAUGGUUUCACUGGCCGUUGGAUUGAUCUACCAGCGCCCUGGACUGUGAAUUCUGAUGUUCUCUUUCAGCUUUACAACAUUCUUCAUUUCUUUUUCUUUCAGGUCUGCGAGCAAUGCCAAAAUGUUAAAUAUGAGAGAGAGGGAUAUUUUGUAACAGUUGAUAUUGAAAAAGGGAUGCAAGAUGGACAAGUAAGUUUCAUAAAAUUCAAAUGUGAUAGGCAAAUUAAUUCUUGAUGGAAGCUUAUACUUUGGUGGAUAUUCAAUUGUUUAUCCCCUUUUCUUUUUCAUUUUGUCUACCCUUUUAGUUCCAUAGAUCAGCUGCUACGAGUAUUAGCUUUAUAAUCUUUAAUCCGUUCAUUUUUUUUGUGAAUUUUAUUGCUCCUCUUACACUAUCAGAACCAUAUGUCCCAUGUUGGACCCUCAUGUUGUCACUCCCAAUUGAAAAGACCAUUAUCACCUUCCAAACAGGAAAAGCCAAAAGAAUUUGCCGUCCAGUUAACUUGCAUACAACAAGUGUUUGAGUUAGAUUUUUUUUUUUCUCGUCUGUUUUAUCUUUGAUUAGAACUUCUUCUAUUUUCCUGUCAUCUCUAGUUGGAAGCUACAGUGUUUCCUCAUGUUUCUUGCAUUUGUUUUGUUUCCACAGUACUGGAUUUUCACAAUCUAGGCUUGGUUUUUCUAUGGAAUUUCUACUGUUUUCUCUUUUACUCUCUUUAUUUUUAUAGAUUAGUCUUUUUAAUGGCAUAUAAGUUUCUCAGGAGGUGGUUUUCUAUGAAGAUGGCGAGCCCAAAAUUGAUGGAGAACCUGGAGAUUUGAAGGUUAGUUUUGGACUCUUGUAUGUUAUAUGUUUUGUCAUAUUUCAUCUGUAGCAGAUAAUAACUACCUCAUUAUUUGCAGUUCCGUAUUCGCACAGCACCCCAUGAUCGCUUCAGAAGGGAGGGAAAUAACUUGCACACAACUGUCACUGUCACACUGGUAAAGCUCAGUUGUGGCCUGUGGGAUAUUAGUU
rnacentral:lncRNA from 1 species